CUCAACUCGAGGCUAAACACUUUAACAUACAUUCUUCGGAGUAAUUUGCACGAUCUUGUGAUAUCGACAUUCCCAUUUCGUAGAGGAGACUGUGAGCCUCAGAGAGCCCCAAGGGAAACCAGCAAACUGAAUGCAAAGCUUUUAUUUCAUGUAUCAGGAAUCCUUGCUCCCAGUGACUCAUGUCGUGUCAGUCAGGGUUCUCCAGAGAAACAUAACCAACAGGGAACCAGGAAAGCUGGUGGUGUAAUUCAGGCUGAGUCCAAAGGCCCGAGAGCCAGGAGUGCCAAUGUCUGAGGCAGAAGAAGAUGGAUGCCCAGCUCACACAGAGAGCAAAUUCGCCCUCCCUCUGCCCUUUUGUUUUCGUCAGGCAGUCAACGGAGUGAAUGAUGCCUCCUCUACUCGCAUGACUGGCCCUGAGCUAACAUCCACGCCCAUCUUCCCCUACUUUUUAUGUGGGAUGCCUGCAACAGCAUGGCUUGACGAGCAGUGUGUUAAGUCCGCACCCAGGAUCCGAACCAGUGAACCCCCAGCCACUGAAGGGGAAUGUGCAAACUUAACUGCUGCCACCACCGGGCCGGCCUCAGAAAUUUUUAUUUUCUUAGUGGUUGACUAAGCAUUUACGAUAAGGAGAAGAAAUCCACCAAUGCUCAGAAAAUUAUUUGAAACCCCUGGUUGCAGUAGAAGCUAAGAGCUUGGAUGGCCCACAUGUAAGGAUGUGCCCUGCCAGAGGCAAGGAGGGGGAAUUGCUGGUUGCGCUGGAGAGAGAAGGAGCUAGAGAAAGACAGGAAAAGAGAGAAUGCCCACAGUUGUUUAUAACUCCUCAUAACU
rnacentral:lncRNA from 1 species